GUGAGCUACUCAGCGUGCGUCACACUUGUCAGGAGAAGAGAGCUGUGUUGACCCAUCCAUGCUGCAACUGUGUUUUCGGAGCCUCUCUGUACUGGGAAUCUGAAGCACAGAGAAGAUUCCUUGUGCAAUAAUACAGUAGAACCCAGUUUAACCGCGUCUCCAUUACCCAUUACUCCAUAUUUACCAAACCACUAGCCACCCGGGGCUGGCAGUGGGAGCCCCAGCCAUCCAUUCUCUGGUUUAUCUGGAUUUUUGGUUCUCUGAUCUGGCCCUGAUCCCUAUUAGACUGGAUAAUUGGGGCUCCACUGUAUAUAAAAAAGC